ACAUCCUCAGGACUCGUGCGGGGUCCCUGGCUCUCACCCCGCGGGUACCUGCUCGAGCUGCGGUCCUACCUCCAGCACGGCCGCCGCUUUGAGCUCCGCCAUGAUCGUCGCCGCGUCGGAUCCCCGCCGGGAGAGUGUAGCGCAGAGUCCGCGUUGGAGCCGAGCUGACAGUGGCCGGGCGGGUGGCCUGGCUGUGGCUGCAGUGGCACCUCCUCCGGAGCCCAGGUCACCAUGCACUGCGCACCUCCCUAGCGUAGUGAGGGACUCCUUAGUGUGGCAUGGGCACGUUCUGCGGGUCCUCCUACAUGAUGAAAGGUCCUGCGUCCCACCACGCCCUGUACUCUCUGCUGGAACCAGAGGUGACUGGGCUGGAGGAGGGUCCGGAACAGAACUUAAGUAUGGAAGGACUUACCACAUUCACAAUGGCUGCUCUUCUCUAAGAAUCUCCAGCAAUACACAGCAGGACUGUGAGGCACAGUUCAGAGUCCCAUUGAUAUGUAACUGAAUUGCUGAGAUGGACCAAUGAGAGCCUUCGAAGUCUCUGCUGUCUGCAGGAGCAGUGGCCACGAAUCUGGCUGAAAUGUGGGGUACAUGCUAAUGUAUGGGGAGACCAGUCUUAAACCACUGGAGUAGCUGGUAACUUCAACCUGCUGUGGGGAGGACUGGGCCUCCUGAGAAGGAAAUGACAGAGCUCCCUCCAAGGUCGUUGGUCAAAGGAGACAUGACAGAAGACAAAGAAUAGGUACAACAAGAUGUAAAGUUUAUAUACAAAGAAUAUAAUGUUUAUCUGAAAUAUUUACAGUGUCGGUUAAAGCAAUAUUUUUACAACUUUUCCAGGUCAACUACUACGUAUAUUACAGGGCAUCAUGCAAUGAGGAAUGGUUACUGUGUGCUUAUAAACUGAAGUUCUGUAGCUGGGAUGGGAACGCAUGCAAUGGUCAGAGCUCAUGAGGGCAUAAAACGAGCAACGAAAUGUUUGAAGACUUAGAUGCCGAUUCUCAGGCUGGAACUGAGGAAGACUUUGAGAUAACAGCCAGCUUUAUCUCAACUAAGUCUGGGACCCACAAGCUUAGACCACAGAGGG
ensembl:antisense Gm26771 predicted gene, 26771